GUGUGGCUGUGCAUGGCUCUCUAAUGUCCUGGCUCGACGGGCUCCAUAUAUUAUUUACCUGUUACAGAAAAUACAUUAGCUCUGUCUAUGGUUAUAUUGCCCUGAAUGUGCCAGAUCUCCUGAAGUUAAAACAGGGGUGGGCCUGCUUAGUAUCUGCACGUGAGGAUUUUCUCACAGCUGUUUGAUUGACAGUUGUUUUCCUCUCCCUUCCUUUUCCCCUUCUCUCCCUCCUCUUUCUCCUCAUCCCCUUUCUUCCUCCUGGUUGGAGAUAAGGUCUCGUGUCUGCCAGGUUGGCUUCAAUAACGUUGACCUCACGGCCCCCCUGCUUCAACCUCCUGAGUGUUAGGGUUGCAGGUUGCACGCUCACACCUGGCUCAAUGCAGCACUCAGGAUGGAAGCAGGGCUCGGUGCCUGCUAGGCAAGGGCUCUACUAAUGGAUCUAUGUCCCCAGCCCUGACUGACCAGUUUACUAGUGUGGAUGGAUAAUCCAACUGGGGAUUUCUCAGAGCCAGUCUGAGAGGAAAAGGGAGUUUAAGUCAUUUAUUUGGGAGGUGAUUUGGGGAUGAGACUGGAGAUGGAAUAGCAGGGGUGUCUUAGGUAGGAUUUUUACAGCUGUGAAGGGACACCAUGGCCAUGGUCACUCUUAUAAAGAAAGCAUUUAAUUGGGGUGGUUUACAUACAGUUCAGAGCUUCAGUCCAUUAUCAACAUGGUGGGGGCAUAGCGGAGUGCAGGCAGGCAGGCAUCUUCAUUAGUAGGCAACAGGAAGUAAACUCUGUCACACUAAGUGAAGCUGGAGCAAAAGAGACUUCAAAGCCCACCCCACAGUGACACACUUCCUCCAACAAGGCCACAUCUCCUAAUAGAGCCAUACCGUCACAGUGUGUAAAUAAGCAGAUGGCCACUGUGGCCUUACUGGAAGCCUCUUGGUGACUGUUUAGCUAUUCUGUGGAGUUGCCAAGGGCUAGGCAGUGGGCUGUGCAUUCCCUAUUUGGCCUGUUGUUGAUAAAAAUGCUCAGGGGUCCCCGAUACCCUACAUCUUUGUCUGACCAGUGUACCAACUGUGUGGUCUUGAGCACCAGAAGAGCCCCCAGGCUUAGAGCUUCAGGCCCUGGUGCAGGGACAGAAGGGAAAAGGGAGAUUGGGGUAUUGGGGGUAUCUGUCUGCCUGAUGUCUAGAAUCUAGCAGAGGAGAGAGCCCUGGCCUGGCACCACACAUCCGCUUUGCUCUGUUGCACUAGACACACUGUCCAGCUUUUCUGACAGCUGCAGUUCUUGUCCAGAACGGUCCCCCGAGGGCUUUCUAAAGAGUGCCAUGAGGUAAUGUCUAUGAAAAACUGUGUGAAUUUCAGAAGUCUUGGGAAGUCUGAGCUAUUGGCUUCUCUCUCUCUUUCCCAUCCCUGUCCCCGUCCCUCCCCUCCCUCCCUUCCCUCCCUCCCUCCCUUCCUUCCUUCUUCUUCUUCCCUUCCUUCCAUCUUUCCUUCCUCUGGAUACAGGAGAAACGAGGGUCUCUUCUUGGGGUUUUAUGCAUCAUUUAUAAAAUAAUUUAAAGAUGAACUCAAACAGAAGCUCAAUGACGACUUUAUUAGAGUUUAAAGAAAAUCCCGGGGGCAGGCCAGCUGUAAAUUUCAGCUUCCACCCAGAGGAGGAGAACGGAGGAGAGAAGAAAGAAAUCCAUACCAUUGAGGCUGGCAUGGUGGGCAGACACACAGCAGACAAGGAACCAUGUGGGCGGGGGUGGGGGGUGCUCUAGAGAAAGCAAGGAAACCCUAAAUGUUGGAAAAACCAAUGUAUUAAGUAAAGUACGCUUAGACAAGAGCUAGAGGAAGGUAAAAGUUACACGUUUCCUGAAUAAUUCAGAAAAGCAAGCAGACUAGUAGUGGGAUUCUGGAGGCACAAGCACAGACAGUAUCUUAUUCCCUUGUCCCACUGAACAUUCAGCUAGUUGGAUCGCCCAGAUCACUCAAGAUUUCUCAAUGCCUCCAUUCCAAAAAAGCCUGGGAGCGGCUUGGACUGUCUGUAAGUAGAACACACUGGUCACUUUAGUAAAGUUGGGUAUUCUUACAUUUCCUUCCCAAGUCAAGCUGGUUGGGUGGACAGUAAAUGCGUAGUCUAGAUGUCUGGAUGUUGCUUGGGCUCAGAGAGACCUCUCUGGUGUCUAGUCAUCGUUACAAUGUAGGUAAUAUGUGCUCUUUCCUGCCUAAGCUAUCCCCCUUUCAGGGCCUGUCAGACCCUCUCCAACCUUUGAGAUCCCAGAGUCAAGGUCAAAGUGUAGCCAGCUUUCGAUCUCUCACCCAGUCUUGUCCUUGUCCCACAGUGGUACAGGGGACACACUAGGGCAGAGGGACUGUUGUGAGGGUUGGCCUCUUCCCCUGGUGGGCAGAUCCCAGCACUACUGUGAAGAAAAUGGCCUGUCUCCACUCAGCGCCUUAAUUCUGGGGGAGGGGCAGUGCGGACCCAGAGCCUUAAGUGCACUCAAGUCUGAGUUUGCAGAUGUUUCCCAGAUGUUUUUCAUUUUUCUGCAGGGGCCUGAAGAGGAAACGGGCUUCAUCGGCAGCACCAGGGGAGGGCAAUGCAUUGCUUCAUAGACAGCAUGGGCUUCUUUAAGGACAUAAGGCCUCAGCCCCUGCAAGAGGGCUCAGAAAACACCAGGGGGGUUGACAUCAGACCUUGUGGCUUGGCAGGGAACCCAAGUGCGUCUUUCCCCAGUACUGUCUUUAGGAUUUCUUGUCCUCUCUGUCACCCUGCCAAGUGCCCCGCAGUCCUAACCCCCACAGCACAGGUCUUGCACCUUAAGGGUGGCAGUGUGGAGUGUGCAGUGCAUAGCUCUGGCAGAUCUGGGUGGGUCUGGAGGGGUUGUGUGGGGCCAACCAGGAGGAGAAGAAAUUAUUGGGGGCUGCAAAGGGCUAUCCUAGGCCUAGGGGAAUUGAGUUUUCUUCUGCAGUCCUAGUGACUCCCAUGGGCUAUCACACUCACUGCUCUUGAAUGCUCCCACAGCUUUUCAGGGUGAGUAUGAACAUGGACUCAAUCUGCAGAAACCAUCAGUGGACGUCAGAUGGUACCAUAGAGACUAUUCCUGGAGAAUAUUCUCUUCCCCAGAAAAUGAAUCAAAAGUUACACCGCAUCUUAUUCAAAUUUAACUCCAAACAGAACCUAUCAUUAAAUGUAAAACUCAAACCCAUUAGUUGGUGGGAAUUAAACACAGGGCAAAGCAAAGUCUCUGGGACCCAGAACCAGAUGAAGAGCCCUUGUCUGGGACACCAAGGCAUACUCAACUAUUUCUCUCAUCCAUUGUGUAUAGUCUCCACCCCUCAGCAAAGCCACGCUGAGGGCUCAGUCCUCACCUGCUCAUGCCCUUCUCUCAGGACAUGGAGCAGGGCCGGAGUGUAGCAUCUUGCCAUUACACACUGGUGAACCAAUGCUGGAGCUGAAUGCCACUCAGACGAUACCGUGGGGUUUGGCAUCAAAGGAAUGAACUUGACCAUUGUCUAAGCGAAGGCGGGAUAGUGUCUGCUGGCUGAGGGCUCUGAGGAGAGGCUGAUGAGGCCAGCAGGCCUUGCCUUGCAAUGGGCAAAGGCCCCUCUGGCCUGCCCCACUCAGCUUUUGCCACCUCUUGAAGCCAUCCUCCUGGCAGCACUGCAGUGGCUCUGGCUGGAAGAGCAGAGCAGCGAGCACUAGCAUUUCCUGAAAAUCUGUUUUCAUGAUCUUUGGCGGAAAUGUAACUUAGGGGAAUUUUCUGUGGGGGUUGGGAAAUGGAUGAGAUGUCAACGAUUCCAUGCAAGUCUCGGCUCCACGUGGGUUUCUCCCAGGCACACUGAGAAUGAGAAAUGUCUCUCCAGCCCCGUCUUGGCUCCUUUGCUCAUCCCUCCUCCCUCUCCACAACUGAAUUCCAGUAGUAUGGCUCAAUGCUGAAGUAAAGAGAGAGAAGCCCCCCCUCCAAUGAUAUGACAGACUUUGAAGGUCCUUGGUAGAGGGCCUCACUAUCCCUGAGGAGGAGUCCGGGGGGGGGGUGAGUUGGGAGGGUUGGGUUGGGAACAUGGGAGGAUGGGAGGGUGAGGGAAUGGGGGGAUGGAUAUGUAAAUAUGAGUAGUAAUUAAAGAAUUUAAAUAAAAAAUGUAAAAAACAAAUAAUCCCCUAGGAAUAGGAAGAAACACCUGUGCUCAGAAACAUGUAAGUUCUGAGGAGGGCCUGGCUCCUUAUCCUGCAUGUCCCGUAGCUAUAGCACCGUGAAGACCCUUGGCUGAAUUUUGGCCUGUAAUCCACCUAACUCUUGCUUUCAUGUGCUUAGACUCAAUUUCUCUAUUCCUAUACAGCUAUUCCUAUACACCAUUCCCAUGCCUAGGGAAUGAUGCCACCCACACUGUACUGUCUUUCCACAUCAGUUAGCACAAUUAAGACAACCUUCCUCCAGACAUGUCCACAGGCCCACCCAGUGUAGACAAUCUAUCAUUGAGACCUUCCCAGAUGAUCCUAAAUUGUGUCAAAUUGACAAAGCUAACAGUCACAGCCACUCUGACCAGAAUAUGGUGUCAUUCUCAAUUUCAUGUGCUGAGACCCUAGCCCCAAGACUAUGGCAGAGUUUAGGGGUAUAGACAAGGUCAUAAGAGUGGAGCCCUCAUCAACACACUCACAGUUCCCAAGGAAUUCAGUUCCCUCUCUGCCACAUGAGGAUGGGGUGAGGAGGGGCCGUGUGUCUAUGAAAUGAACCGGGAAGCAUCCUUCACCUGACACCAAAACUGCUGGCCACAAAAUUGUGGACUUUCUGUUCUCUUGUGAAGGCAGUUUAAAUGAGCUACCUACGAGCCCUGGCUGUGUAUGUACCUAAGAGACCCGUAUGAUUCAUCUUGGCUACACCUUGAAGUCUCUGGCAACAAUCUUGCAUCGAUAUUGAACUUUCUUUCACUACAGCUGAAUUCUGCAUUGUUAGCUCAAAAUGAGGGUUCAUGACUUCUUGUUAAAUCUCUUUCGGACACCCAUAAUUAAGGAAUUAUUUGACUUGGAAAGCUUAGCAGGUACCAAAAAAAAGAAAAUAAAAAUGACCAAAACCUUUGGGGAAUCUUGAAAUUGUCCAGCAUCCAUCCUAGAUUUUUAGGUUAGAGUCCAUGGCUCCUGAGGCACUACCUGAAGCAUCCAGGCUACUUUCUUUCCCUGUGUGCUUCCUUAGAAGUCAAGGAAGCACGGAAGCUCGGCAGGACAAUUGGUCUUAGACAUUAAUCUUGUGUACCAGGCCUGCAUAGCUUGCAAAUGUCAUUGUGUCCUGGCAACUACAAUUGUAUUCAUUCUGGAAACUGCCACUAUAUUCUGUUUCUGAUAAGGUAUAAAAAGUCUGGGGACUUGGAGAGUUGGCUCAGUGGUUAAGAGCACUUGUUCCCGUGAAGACCAGGUUCAAUUCCCAGCACCCACAUGGAGGCUCAGCACUUCCUCAGGCAGCAGGCAUUCACGGGGUACACAGACAUAUAUGCACAGGCAAAGCACUCAUUUGACUAAAAAAUAUCUAAAUAAAUAUGUAUGUGUACAUACACAUUUUUUUUUAAAGUCUGAUGGCUUUCAAUAAAAUUGUCACAACUCUGUCUUGCUGUGGCCCCUCCAACCUGAGCCUGGGGUAAUUUUUCCCCAGCCCUAUAAGGUAACCUUGGCCCAGUACUAGCUUGGGUGCUUAUAAAACCCCCAAACAAAUAAACACACAGUUUUGUAUAUCGAAAACCCUUGGCCAACAAGAAUGAAGCUGCUAGCCUCCCCAUGGGUUCACAUGGCCAUUUUAUAAGACAACUUGAUUAAAAAGGAUUUAUUUUUAACUAUGUGUAUGUGUAUGUAUGUCUAUGCCAGAGUGUGUUCAUGUCAGU
rnacentral:lncRNA from 1 species